AUGGACCCUCCCGCGACGGCCGGCUCCCCCUCCCCCACCACCGCCACCACCUCCUCCUCGCUGCGGAGGCGCACCGCGCUCUCCGUCAACACGUCCGCGCCGGGCCGCGGCGGCAGGGGCAUGGAGCGGGAGAGCAAGGAGGCGGCUGAGACGGAGAGGGACGUGGAGCGGGCGGCGGGGGCGGAGCCGGUGAGCCCGGCGGGGCGGCUGUUCCGGGAGGCGCACUUCAACUGCUACAUCGUGGCCCUGCUGGGCCUCGGCGCGCCGGUGGACGUGGCGGCGGCCCGCGCCGGGCUGGAGGCCACGCUCGUCCGCCACCCCCGCUUCUGCAGCGUCCAGGUGUCGGACGACGUGAAGAAGAACGCAAAGCCACGGUGGGUGCGGACCACGGUGAACCUGGACGACCACGUCGUCUUCCCGGACCUGGACCCUGCCGCCACGUCGGCCGACCCCGACCGUGCCCUGGAGGACUACGUGUCCUCCCUGUCCACGCGGCCCAUGGACCACUCCCGCCCGCUCUGGGAGUUCCACGUCAUCAACCUCCCGACCUCCGAGGCGGCCGGCGCCGUCGCCAUCCGCAUGCACCACUCCCUCGGCGACGGCGUGUCGCUCAUCUCGCUCCUCACCGCCUGCACCCGCAGCGCCGCCGACCCGGCCAGGCUGCCGUCGCUGCCGUCGCCCCCGCCGCCGCGGCGCUCCGGCGCCGCCCCGCCGCUCUCGGCCGGCGCCCUCGCGCUCGCCGCGUGGGCCUGGUCGCUCGUCGCGCUCGCGUGGAACACGCUGGUGGACGUGGCGCUCUUCGUGGCCACGUCGUGGUUCCUGCGCGACGCGCCCACGCCGUUCCUGGGGUCCCCCGGCGUCGAGUUCCGCCGCAAGCGCUUCCUCAACUGCACCCUGGACCUCGACGACGUCAAGCUCGUCAAGAAUGCCAUGAAGUGUACUGUGAACGAUGUGCUGGUUGGCGUGACCUCUGCGGCGCUGUCGCGCUACUAUUUCCGCAAGACCGGUUCAGGCGAGAGCAGCAGCGACAAGAGAAAGCAGCGGAAGAACAUCCGCAUGAGAUCGGCGUUGCUCGUCAACAUUCGGAAAACACCCGGCCUGCAUACAUUGGCACAGAUGAUGGAUCCCAGUAAGGACAACGCUGUCAAAUGGGGGAACCAGAUCGGUUACAUCGUGCUCCCGUUCCAUAUAGCGAUGCACGACGAUCCACUCGAGUACAUCCGGCAGGGGAAGAAGACAGCGGACAGGAAGAAGAGAUCUUUGGAAGCGGUCUUCACAUAUUGGAGUGGAAAUCUAGUGGUGAAACUCCUCGGCAUUAAGGCAGCCGCGGCUCUCUGCUAUGGCAUGUUCACUAACACCACCAUGUCAUUCUCAAGCCUGGCCGGACCUACCGAGAAGGUGGAGUUCUAUGGUCAUCCGAUCGUCUAUAUAGCGACAAGUGUCUACGGGCAUCCACAUGCUCUAACCGUGCAUUUUCAAAGUUACAUGAACAUCAUGAAGCUUGUCCUUGCGGUGGACGAUGAGCAAUUCCCGGACUCUCAUCAACUACUGGAUGACUUUGCUGAGUCCCUCAGGCUUGUUCGUCAGGCAGCUUCAGCAAGAUCGUAG
rnacentral:rRNA from 1 species